rnacentral:rRNA from 1 species
AAGUCGUAACAAGGUUUCCGUAGGUGAACCUGCGGAAGGAUCAUUAUUGAAAAGUUUUGGGGAUUACUGUUGCUGGUUUCUAACGAGGCAUGUGCACGUAUAUCUCUAAUCUAUUCAUCCACCUGUGCACUUUUUGUAGGAGUUCUUUUGGAUUGGCUAUUAGUUGAUUUGAAAGGCUCUUAUGUUUUACAAACUAGUUAAGCAUGUUUUAGAAUGGUUGUUUUAUCGGGACUUUAUUGACCCUUUAAACUUGUACAACUUUCAGCAACGGAUCUCUUGGCUCUCCCAUCGAUGAAGAACGCAGCGAAAUGCGAUAAGUAAUGUGAAUUGCAGAAUUCAGUGAAUCAUCGAAUCUUUGAACGCACCUUGCGCCCUCUGGUAUUCCGGAGGGCAUGCCUGUUUGAGUGUCAUUAAAUUCUCAACUUCAAUAGUUUGUUAUGAACUUGUUGAAGCUUGGAUGUGGAGGCUUUGCUGGCGUCUUUAGAUGUUCGGCUCCUCUUAAAUGCAUUAGUGGAACCCGUUUGUUGGACCAUCCUUGGUGUGAUAAUUAUCUACGCUUUGGUAGUCUAAUAAACUCUAUUGAGCAUUUUUCAGUUUUAACUAACUGGAUUGGGUUUUGCAUUAGGUUGCUUUACCUGGCUUCAUUAGAGUAGGGACUUGUCUGCUCUCUAACCGUCCGUAUAUGCGGACAAUUUAACUUGAUUAUUUGACCUCAAAUCAGGUAGGACUACCCGCUGAACUUAA